GCCCCUCCCCCAAAACACCGGCCUGAAACUCCUCCGCUUCCUGCAGGCAGAGAUGGGGCAGGAACGCACCCCGAAACAGCGUCUGUGUUGGGCCCGUGUGCAGAUGCGCGCAGGAGAGGAAGUUUCGUGCGUCUCUCCUGGGAUCACUGACCCUAGAAAUCCGGAAAUCCAGCAGCAGAAUACUCCAGGAGUGCUGGGAAGCCGGCCCAAGGUCACGUGUGUACCUGCGGGCUGUGAGCCGAAGAGAGCCCUCGGCAUUCCAGCGCACAACCUCACUGUAACUAACGUUCCUGCCGGGGAGGCUGGCAGGGGCACACCUUCCCAGAGGUUGGGAAAUGAGCUGGAUCUGCACUUGUCAAACUAGGUCCUCGGGCCACACCUGGCCCACUGCCUAUUCUUGUCAAUAAAGCUUUAUUGGAACGCGGA